ensembl:lncRNA
CUCGCUCUUCCUGCGUCUCUCCGUCCGUCUCUCUGUGUAUUUCCCUGUACCUCCCUGCAUCUUCGUUCAGGUUUGUUUUGUUAACUCUGCCCAGUUUAGGUUCCAGUUUCAUGUUCCCCCGCCAUUGCUGUUUGUAUCCACUCCUGUUAAUAAAUACUAACCUGCACCAGAGCUGCCGCAUUUUGGGUCCUUUCUACAAACUCCACACAUCUGCCACACCGGACGUGACAAUUUUGACCUGCCAGCAUCUUUGAAAUGAGGUCCACUGUGGCAGCAGCGGCAGAGGAGAAUGGAAAUAUUACUGCAAACCAGUAGAACAGAUAAACGGGUUCUGCAAGCUCGGAGAGAAGGUCACAUAACCGACCCCGAUUCUACCAGCUGGGACCUAUAGGAAGACGCUGAGAGGCUCGGUUAUUUGACCAAGACUGACAACUACUGGGUUAAAUACCAAUACAUUGAGCGGGAGAUCUGGCCUGGUGCAUGGUCUAAACCUAAACGGUAUAUAGGACCCCAAACAUGGUUUGUGAGGUGGGAUCGUACCAAACCACCUGCAUUAUUGGGCUGUCAAGAGGACACUGUAAAGAUAUGCAAGACCACCACAGAAGAGUUUCUUGUGUCUGCACUGGAAUUCCAAGGUUUUC